rnacentral:lncRNA from 1 species
AUGAGAAUUUCACACAAAAAUAAUUCAAUAAUAUUCAAAUACUUCAACAAUGGCAUUCUUGAAAGAUGGGCAUCACUGGGGCUACAUUCCCACGUGGGGACAACUGCCUGGAGUAAGCGAGUGUUCCUUGUCUGUUUCUCACCCCAGCUCACACACUUCAUGGUUUCCCAUCACGGUCUCUGUGGUCAGAUACAGAGCGUUGAGUUUAUGACCACUGGUUCAGGCCCUACAGGCUGGAGCUAUGACUGGCUUGCCUACUGCAUCCUAGCAAACCAGUGAGGUGCCAAACGGACAGUGGGUCCUGAGUCUGUUCUGAACUUCCCAGGCUCCUCAGUGCCAUCUCGCACAGCUGUGCACUCUACAGACACAGUCUUUCUGUUCUUGAAUGGGCCGUGCCUGCACGUGCAUGCUCAGUCGUGUCCAACUCUUCGUGACCCCGUGGACUGUAGCCCACNNNNNNNNNNNNNNNNNNNNNNNNNNNNNNNNNNNNNNNNNNNNNNNNNNNNNNNNNNNNNNNNNNNNNNNNNNNNNNNNNNNNNNNNNNNNNNNNNNNGUGUCCAACUCUUCGUGACCCCGUGGACUGUAGCCCACCAGCCUCCUCUGUCCGUGGGAUUUCCCAGGCAUGAACUGGAGUCGGUUGCCAUUUCCUUCUCCUGAAUGGGCCCUGUCUAUGCCCAAAGCCUGGAUCCUUAUAUCUGCUCUCAUUCCCUCUUCUAAUGGUGCCACCCCACCUGCUUACUUCAUCCUUCACAUCUCAGCUUAGAUGUCCCUCUCUCUGGAAACCUUCGCCAACCCUUCAGGUUAAAAACAGAUCCCACUGUAAUACACUUUCAGAGCAUUCUAGGCUUUCAUUGCCCUUAUCAGUUUGUUAGUUAGACUUGUAUGGUUGGUUAAUGUCUCCUUGCCUCACUCAACUAUAAAGAUCCAUGAGGGCAGGAUCAGUGUUGCUGUGCUUGUUGUAGAAUCCACCAGGCCUCACCUGGUGCCAGAUGAAACCCUCAAGGUCUAUGUGAAUAAAUGAGUGCUUCCAAGAAAUAGGCCUUAAGGAAAGUAGAAGCCAGUAUGUAGAGGUGUAGAUGUCCAUCUUAUUCUAUGGAGCAUUAUGAGUGUCUUGUCCUUAACACUCUAAACUACUCUAAGUAUAGAUUCCUCUUGUCUGAGAUUAUGAGUGGCCUAAGGGCAGGGGACUCUUGUUCCCUUUUUAUCUUCUGUACCUGAUACAGAAUUCCAGAAAUGUAUACUGAAUGACCAAACUAAUCAGCAUGGAUUUCUUUUUAAGAUGAGGAUGGUGGCUUCUCUGCCUAUUAACUUAUUCAUUACACUCUUUCAUCACCUCAGAUUGGGCUCUAUUCCAGAGCAAAAGUGUAUCAGCAGUGCCCACCACGAAUGAUCCGGAUGGUCAUUGCAGGAUGACCUAGCAGAGCUCUGGUUGGCCUCAACUUUCUGUUGGCCUAGUUGCUGAGUUUUUGAGGUGUUUUAUAAGCAUCAUUAAGCUUAUCAUGUUCAAUAAUUGNNNNNNNNNNNNNNNNNNNNNNNNNNNNNNNNNNNNNNNNNNNAGGAUGAUGAUGGAAAUUAAAGUGAAACAGUUUUACAGGAGUAGGUGCCUACUGGGUGUUUGUGGAAUGUUCGACCCUAGGUAAAUUUGUUUUUUUCCAACAGGAAAAAUGUCUUAUCCGCAUGGGAUUUAAAACUAUAGAUCAUGGAAAGUUCUGUGUUCACACAUGCCUCCUCCUCAGUGAACCAGGGCACAUAAUUGACCAGAAAGCUCACUGGGAUUAAUUAGCAGUGGUAUGUGAAGAGCUUGGUUCAGACUUGGAACAUGGAGGAUGACUUUCCAGCGAGGCCAGAGCCUAGAUUCAUAAUUCAGUCACUUCAGGGGAUCUCAUUGCUUGCCUAGCGUAAUCGUUGGGGCUCUUGGCUCAGACCAGGAUGGGCAUUGUGUGUCUAGCUGCUGCCAGCAGAGGGCAGCAGUACGCUGUGUGUGUUCAAUUUGCAUUCCAGAUUAGCAAAUCCCCAUGCACUGACAAAGAGGGAAAGUGGGUGUCCCACGACGACUCUUGCUGCUUUUCUCUGGGUGAUAACACUGGCCCCACGCCACUGCACACACAGACCUUUUUACAUUAUGUUGGACUUGGGCUCAUCCAAAAUAGAGAAAUGAAUACACAACUAGGAGCUGCCAUCACAGACAAGAAGUAACUUUAAUUAAAUAUUGUGAAAGUUGAAAAGUUUUUACAGCUUGAAUGUUUGCAAAAAAAAAAAAAAUUAUAACAAUCUCUACAGUAGUUAGGUUCUCUAACGAUUGAACUGUACAGUGUGUGUCUAUUCCAAAAGUCUGAUAGGAAGGUGAAAGGUUAGAUUUAGAGAUGACUUCGUUAAGCUGCAUCCUAGUACAAUGUGAGGCCAGGGUGUGUUAUGCAAUCCAGUCAUCCAGAAGCUGUAUUUUUCCCCCCAAACUGAAAUCCUAGUUGAAUUCUCUAUUUUUGUUUUCUUCUUAAAGCCAUAUUCUGUAUUUAGGGGAACAUCUUUUAUUUGUAAAAGUUCCAUGUAGAAGAGAGAGGGUCAGAGGGCCAGAAUGUCGUUUAAUCUAAUCAGUGUAAAUAGAGGCAACGAAACACAAAUUAUACACAUUUUAAAGGCUCUUUGGACUUUCAAGAAAAGUUCUAACCACUACAAUGGCUGACAAUGGGUGGCGUCUGUCACCAGGGUCUGAGCCGGACACCUCACCGGCUGACCCGGAGUCCUUCACAAACAGUUAAGGGGCUCACCAGACAAAAUAUGGCUUUAAAUUGUACACAUCUUCAGGCCAGCGCUUACCACACAAAUUCAGACAACCUUUCUGAGUACCGAGAAGCAAUGUGUCCACUUUGCUUACAUUUUCCAGUUUUAUUAUUAUUAUUUAUCAUUAUUAUUUCUCACCAAGAAAAAUCAGCUUUCUUCCCCUCC